AAACUUUUAUUUUCAACUUUUCUCAAUGUGGGGACCAAAAUAUGCUUAACCCACUGUGUUGAGUAUAAAUAGCAUUGAUGGACAUACCCUAUCUGCCAUUAAAAAACCAGGCUACUUCUUCAUCAGUGUCUUAGAAUUCUUGUUGUUGGUAGACAACAUUUUCAUAACUAGCAACACUAUGUCGGUUGUUGAUGAAACUUAUAAUUUCUUCCUCGAUUUUGUUAAUGGUGGCAAUGAUGACAUAGCAAUUGAUGCAAUAAUGCAUCCCGACGGAGAUGAUGACGAUGAUGAUGACACAAUAGAUGUCGCCCCAGCUGCAACCUUAGGGUUUGGGCCUGUGCGUAAUUAGCGAAUAAGGGUGCUUGAAGGAAGGUACUUGCAUUGCUGCCAUUUAAUAUCCAUGUGCAUGCAGGCAGGAUAUUUCUGAAGACCUUGUUUUAAUACUAUAUCAAUAGAGUUUUACCCAUAAAUGAACAACUCUAAAAUUUUGAUGUAAUAGUUAUCUGUACAAUGAGAUAAGUAAUGGUAUUACUUAGUGAUUACUUUUCAGAUGAUACAGCUUUAUGAAAGUGGUGAUUCUCAUGCUGAUCCCAUUGCCUCUGGCUAUACACAUUUAAUCGUUUACGUCUUUUUGUUUCAAAUACUGAAGCUUCGAGAGAAUUUUUUACACAUGGAAACUGGUGCUGUUUUUGCUUGUUAAAUAGCCCAAGUAGAAGAGAUGAAAGAGAUUAUAUGGGCUUCCCGUCAUGGCUUUUUAACUUAGUAAACCAAACUUGGUGAAGCAUCAAAGAGAACUUCAAUGAUUAUAUUUUAAAAGACAAAAAUGAGAUGUUAUUUUCAAGCAAAUGGAGAACCCGCAAUGUUAUCAUCGCUCAACGCAAGGGUUACAAAGCACAAUGAGAGAGAGAGAGAGAGCGAGAGAGAGAGAGAGAGUUGUUUCUCCAUGGUAUCACGAGGACUAAUAGUACAAUGGAAAAUCCAUUUUUUUUAGGGCACGGAAAGGUUUUCCAAGGAAAUACCUUUUUUCCAAUUUUACCAACAUGGAGAACGUAUAAAACAGUAGUAAAUGAGAAAAUAUUUUCCCCAUUUUCAUGGAAGCGGCAACAUUUUUUGAUAAUUCAAUGGAGAAGACAAUCCCCUACCCCUUUCUUCAAUGGAGUUGGUUUUUUUGAAGGUAUUAGUGGAUGCUGUCAAUGGGAAUGGAAACCACAACAAGGCGAUUAGGGUGUGGGGGUGCUACCACCACAACCCCAAACCCUUUCCCAUAGAAGCAGCAUUCCCCACAGUUCUUUAUAUCUCAAAUCAUUUUCGUACCCGCGUAAUUAAAAACUUUGGAGGCUAAACCCUGUAACCCCACCACCUGCCCACCACGCCCCGACCGCACUUUUAACAAUGUUUCGCUCUGUAUGUGCUCUAUGUGUAUGUGUAUAAGUGUGCGUGUUAGUUAUGCAAUUUUCUUGGAAGGAAACCAAGGAACUACGAUUGAUAAUAGAGCUCGUAUUGAGUAUUUGAAGAAUUCCAUGAGCAGAUAUGAAGGCACUGGCAGUCGGAAACCAAACGGCUUCACUAAUAUGGAGGAUAGUUCUAAGUAUUUCCAUUGUUUCGUUUGCCUUUUGUCUUGUACCGUUCGAUCAGCCACAUGAGUUGUGAAAAUUUGAAAUUAGUUUUGUACUAUCUCUCUACUAUGGGUGAAUCUUUUUCAUUUUAAUUUCUUUGUUCAUAUGGGAUAUCGAACAUCUUAAUAGCGAUGGAUUGGGUGCCUUGGGUGGGACAUAUUGUGGAAUGUAAUUUAAACUACUUUUGUAACUAAUCACUAUUCUAUCUCCUAGUUUCUCUCUUAGUUGUGCGGUGGUUUGGGUUAAUAGUUAUGCACUAUUUUCGCUUUCUACGGGUUUAUUUUUAGUUAUUUUCUAAUGGGUAGUUAUUGAAUUAUAGUGGGUUGUCGGUUAUCAUAAGUACGAGACAAACAUCUCAUGUACUGGGUAGUUAUUGUUAUAAAUGAGGUAAAGGCUACUUCUCAAUCGGUUGGAUGAGCCUUCAUUUAAAGAGGGGCGCUAUAAGCAAAUGAGCCAAGCCAGUGAAAGUGUGCAGCAUAUUUUUGGAGAAAAAAAGUUAUUGAAAGAGCCUGUUCACAGAAAGCUGGGAGUGGCAUGAAGUGAUUCAAGACGGGAAAAUGAACAGAAAGAAAAUAAAGCAAAGGGAAGUAGCAACAAAGGCAAAUACUUGUAUGUCCUAAAAAAUAGUUUCCAUCUUCAAAGCCUAUGAUGAUCAAGAAGGAAGGCUUACUACAGCCCAACAAGCGAAGGACACCGUGCUUUUGUUUUACAUUUAGUAGGCUGUGGAUGAGACCAUAUGUCUGAGAAUAAUGGCAGCAGAAAAACAUCAAAGGAAGCAAGGGACUUGCUUCGAGAAGAAUACUGAGUCCUAAGUCAGGGAAUCCAAAGAGUUAACAACUUUAUCUAUGAAUCAUCUAAUGGUUCUCGUCAAGCAUAUGAGAUAAGAUUGAAUAGAUCUACAGAAAAUCCAUUGAACAGACCUGUCAAUCAAAACAUAAUCUAAGACAGGCUCGAGUGAAGGUGGGAAAAGUCGCUCAUCAGAAAAAAGGCGUGAUGGAAGAGGAGGUGCAAAGCAAAACCUUCUAGGCAAAGGAAGAACUUGAUUUAACCAAAGUCAUUAGCAUUUCAUUAGAGCUUGACUGUAAUUGUGGUGUUAUACUGGACCAAAGCAGACCAUUGAGUAGAAAUCAUUGACAAUGCACUGGUGGUUGAAGACCUCAAGACAAAAGAUCGAUAUUUAAAGGAGAUCAAGCGAGAGGUGAUCUUGUCUAAAGGUGAGUUGGUUGUGGAAGAAUAAGAAGCACAUGAGGAGGAAUCUAGUGAUGACUCCAAAGAAGAGCUUGUAUUAACUAUUGAACCACAGUUCCAGAUGGACAAGUUAAGAGCUCUAAGAGGAUGUUAUGCACGGUCUCAGGGGACCAGGACUGAUGAGAGAGCGUGUCCCACUUUAUUAGCCAUUGAGGUCAAGAAGCAAAAAAAAAAGCAUCCCCCCCAAAAGAGGAUGUUGAUUUUAAGUUACAAUUUUUUGAUGUAAUUUUGAAUACUUUGGAUAUAGUGGACUAUAAAUAUAAAUUUCAAUCAAAAUUUUGGCUUUAAGAUUUCAUUAGA